rnacentral:ncRNA from 9 species
CCGUAGACUGCAGACGCCGGCCUCAAGCCCGAGUUAAUAGGGAAUCCAGUGUGAAUCUGGAGCUGACGCGCAGCGGUAAGGAAUGUCGUGAUGAGUGCAAUUGCAGACACUGUCCUGUGGGAUGGGAAGUCAUCAUCACUUAUGGUUCCCAGCCCGAAGACCUGCCGGUGUAACGUCGCUACUC